rnacentral:rRNA from 1 species
GACGAACGCUGGCGGCGUGCCUAACACAUGCAAGUCGAGCGGAGCUAGUAGCAAUAUUAGUCUAGCGGCGGACGGGUGAGUAGCGCGUGGGCAAUCUGCCUUCUACAGGGGGAUAACACAGGGAAACUUGUGCUCAUACCGCAUAACAUACUUAAGGGACAUCCCUUGGGUAUCAACGGAGCAAUCCGGUAGAAGAUGGGCCCUCGUCCGAUUAGCUAGUUGGAGGUUUAACGGACCACCAAGGCGACGAUCGGUAGCCGAAUUGAGAGGUUGAGCGGCCACAUUGGGACUGAGACACGGCCCAGACUCCUACGGGAGGCAGCAGUGGGGAAUAUUGCGCAAUUGGGGAAACCCUGACGCAGCAACGCCGCGUGAAGGAUGAAGGUCUUCGGAUUGUAAACUUCUUUAGUCGGGGACGAAGAAAUGACGGUACCCGAAGAAUAAGCCACGGCUAACUACGUGCCAGCCGCCGCAGUAA